GGUCAACCACCUGCACUAUCCCCCUGAUGCGUGUGAAGAGGACCCUGAAGUGAUUGGCUAUGAAGAUGGAGAUUAUGGGCAUGACUACCAUGGGGACAACAGGGUGAAGAGGAAAUCAAGCAGCUCACCUUCCCCUCGUCCAAAGAAAAGGAAGAAGAAGAAAUCUGGCUCUCGAAGGAGUCGGUUUGGCAGCUCCUCACCCAGUCGCAGAGAGAAGAAGAAAAAGAGUGGGAAGAAACACAAGCGAGACAGAUCUGCAUCUGGCUCCAGGAAAAAGAGAAGAUACAGGUCGGGAAGCCCAAAGAACAAACACAAAGACAAGAACAAACAGAAAAAGAGGUCCCCUGGUGAAACACCCAGCAGGAGUUCACAGCGUCAAGGCAGCUGCUGCAGCUCUCGUAGUCCCUCCUUGUCUUCCAUCAGGAGCGCCUCCAAAUCACCCACCAGAUUAAACUCCAAACACAAGACGGACGGUCAAAAGAUGAUUGGCACCCCGCAGUUCCCGGCCCCUGAGAGUCCCACCACUUGGCACAACGGGGACCACACCCAGCGAAGCCGCAACGGCAAGGCCGGCAGACUCAACCUCACCGAUGGCGAGAAAGGGAACGAUAAGUUCCACAUGCUGACUGCCAGCUCUGCAAGCAUCCAGUCAUCUCUGCUGAGAGAGAACAAGAUACACAGCGCCCCCAUCAGGAACCAGAUUGGAAAGAUGUGUGCGGCAGAAGAUGCUGGGAGUGUCGAUGGCAGGGGCACAGCUAUAGGGAGCUCUCUGAGCAAGGCGUCAGGGAGGAGAGGAGGCCAGAGAGGUCAGAAUAAGACCUCCCACUCCCCUGCUCACAGCAGUGACUCGACCCACUCCCAGCACAACCAUACUCACAGAGGGAGGAGCUCUCGUCACCAGAGAAAGGGAAAAGGUGGCCACUCUUCCAAGAGACACCACCGAUCCAGUCGGGGUCAGGCACGCCACCGGAGCACAUCAGCAUCUCCAGGGCGCCAAUCACACACGUCAGCCAACAAAGUCGGGAGCAAGGCAAACCUCCGACAGCGCAGCAGCUCCUGGAGCAGCGGACGUUCGUCCUCGCCCUCUGCCUCCAGAGACAGAGGACCCAGCAAGGCCAAGUCCCCACACAACAGGCAGAAUGCCUCCAGGGACAGGGAGAGUGCCAACCGCUCUGACACCGACAGCCGAGCUCGCCGCCGUUCACGCAGCUACUCACCUAUCCGCAAAAGAAGAAGAGAUUCGCCCAGCUUCAUGGAGGCUCGCAGGAUCACCAGCGCUCGGAAGCGGCCGAUUCCAUACUACCGGCCCAGUCCUUCAUCUUCCAGCUACGACAGCAGCCCGUCACGAUCCAGCCGCAGCCACAGCCGCAGCUACAGCAGCUACAGCCGCAGCAGAAGUCACAGCAGGAGCCACAGCAGGAGCCGGAGCCAGAGCUGGAGCCGCAGCCACAGCUGGAGUCGCAGCCAGAGCCGGAGCUGGAGUCGCAGCAGGAGCCGCUCCCGCAGCCACCACAGUUAUUACAGCCGCAGCAGCUAUGACAGCCCGGGGUUCUGAUGGCGACCAGCAGAACGAGAACAAAAAAAAAAACAGGAACAAAAGUAGGAGAAGUGCUGUUAAACCUGCUGCACUCCGGUAGAUUCAUUACGUAUCCUUAGCAAGUCCUCGGCAGGGGCCGCACUGCUGUACAGCCCGGGAUCCAAACUCCUUCACCAUGGACCAUUCUGUCUCUAACACAGAGCCUGGAUCAAAGA
ensembl:lncRNA